rnacentral:rRNA from 1 species
AUUGAACGCUGGCGGCAGGCCUAACACAUGCAAGUCGAACGAGUGGCGGACGGGUGAGUAAUGGAUGGGAAUCUGGCUGAUGGAGGGGGAUAACGACGGGAAACGGUCGCUAAUACCGCAUACCAUGGGAUGGGCCCAGGUGGGAUUAGUUAGUUGGUGGGGUAACGGCUUACCAAGCCGACGAUCCCUAGCUGGUCUGAGAGGAUGACCAGCCACACUGGGACGGAGACACGGCCCAGACUCCUACGGGAGGCAGCAGUGGGGAAUAUUGGGCAAUGGGGGCAAGCCUGACGCAGCAAUGCCGCGUGAGUGAAGAAGGCCUUCGGGUUGUAAAGUUCUGUCGGUGGGGAGGCGUUACCUACAGAAGAAGCACCGGCUAACUCCGUGCCAGCAGCCGCGGUAAUAC